GAGUUUGAUCAUGGCUCAGAUUGAACGCUGGCGGCAGGCCUAACACAUGCAAGUCGAACGGUAACAGGAAACAGCUUGCUGUUUCGCUGACGAGUGGCGGACGGGUGAGUAAUGUCUGGGAAACUGCCUGAUGGAGGGGGAUAACUACUGGAAACGGUAGCUAAUACCGCAUAACGUCGCAAGACCAAAGAGGGGGACCUUCGGGCCUCUUGCCAUCGGAUGUGCCCAGAUGGGAUUAGCUAGUAGGUGGGGUAACGGCUCACCUAGGCGACGAUCCCUAGCUGGUCUGAGAGGAUGACCAGCCACACUGGAACUGAGACACGGUCCAGACUCCUACGGGAGGCAGCAGUGGGGAAUAUUGCACAAUGGGCGCAAGCCUGAUGCAGCCAUGCCGCGUGUAUGAAGAAGGCCUUCGGGUUGUAAAGUACUUUCAGCGGGGAGGAAGGGAGUAAAGUUAAUACCUUUGCUCAUUGACGUUACCCGCAGAAGAAGCACCGGCUAACUCCGUGCCAGCAGCCGCGGUAAUACGGAGGGUGCAAGCGUUAAUCGGAAUUACUGGGCGUAAAGCGCACGCAGGCGGUUGUUAAGUCAGAUGUGAAAUCCCGGGCUCAACCUGGGAACUGCAUCUGAGUACUGGCAAGCUUGAGUCUCGUAGAGGGGGGUAGAAUUCCAGGUGUAGCGGUGAAAUGCGUAGAGAUCUGGAGGAAUACCGGUGGCGAAGGCGGCCCCCUGGACGAAGACUGACGCUCAGGUGCGAAAGCGUGGGGAGCAAACAGGAUUAGAUACCCUGGUAGUCCACGCCGUAAACGAUGUCGACUUGGAGGUUGUGCCCUUGAGGCGUGGCUUCCGGAGCUAACGCGUUAAGUCGACCGCCUGGGGAGUACGGCCGCAAGGUUAAAACUCAAAUGAAUUGACGGGGGCCCGCACAAGCGGUGGAGCAUGUGGUUUAAUUCGAUGCAACGCGAAGAACCUUACCUGGUCUUGACAUCCACAGAACUUUCCAGAGAUGGAUUGGUGCCUUCGGGAACUGUGAGACAGGUGCUGCAUGGCUGUCGUCAGCUCGUGUUGUGAAAUGUUGGGUUAAGUCCCGCAACGAGCGCAACCCUUAUCCUUUGUUGCCAGCGGUCCGGCCGGGAACUCAAAGGAGACUGCCAGUGAUAAACUGGAGGAAGGUGGGGAUGACGUCAAGUCAUCAUGGCCCUUACGACCAGGGCUACACACGUGCUACAAUGGCGCAUACAAAGAGAAGCGACCUCGCGAGAGCAAGCGGACCUCAUAAAGUGCGUCGUAGUCCGGAUUGGAGUCUGCAACUCGACUCCAUGAAGUCGGAAUCGCUAGUAAUCGUGGAUCAGAAUGCCACGGUGAAUACGUUCCCGGGCCUUGUACACACCGCCCGUCACACCAUGGGAGUGGGUUGCAAAAGAAGUAGGUAGCUUAACCUUCGGGAGGGCGCUUACCACUUUGUGAUUCAUGACUGGGGUGAAGUCGUAACAAGGUAACCGUAGGGGAACCUGCGGUUGGAUCACC
rnacentral:rRNA from 1 species